rnacentral:rRNA from 1 species
GGGCCCGCACAAGCGGUGGAGCAUGUGGUUUAAUUCGAUGAUACGCGAGGAACCUUACCAGGGCUUAAAUGGGAGAUGACAGGGGCAGAGACGCCCUUUUCUUCGGACAUCUUUCAAGGUGCUGCAUGGUUGUCGUCAGCUCGUGCCGUGAGGUGUCAGGUUAAGUCCUAUAACGAGCGCAACCCCUACCGUUAGUUGCCAGCGAUUCAAGUCGGGGACUCUAACGGGACUGCCGGUGCAAACCGUGAGGAAGGUGGGGACGACGUCAAAUCAUCACGGCCCUUACGUCCUGGGCUACACACGUGCUACAAUGGUCGGUACAGAGGGAAGCUACCCCGUAAGGGGAUGCGGAUCUAUAAAACCGAUCUCAGUUCGGAUCGGGGUCUGCAACUCGACCCCGUGAAGCUGGAAUCGCUAGUAA